rnacentral:misc_RNA from 1 species
CGCACAUUGCGCCCCUCGGUAUUCCGGGGGGCAUGCCUGUCCGAGCGUCAUUACAUCUCUCAAGCAUAGCUUGGUAUUGGGCCUCGCUCCUUCAUACUGGGGGGCGUGCCUGAAAAGUAGUGGCGGUCCGGCGUGACUUUGGAUGUAGUAAAUUUUGUCUCGUCCUGAAAGCCUUCGCGCCGUGGCCAGCCAGAACAAUCAUUUUCAACAAUUGACCUCGGAUCAGGUAGGGAUACCCGCUGAACUUAA